UAGGUAGAAGCCCGCUGGUUGGGGCAUAUAGCUGUUAACUAUAAUGUUGUGGGAUCGAGGCCCAUCUAUCUAG
rnacentral:tRNA from 1 species